ACGCUGGCGGCGUGCCUAAUACAUGCAAGUAGAACGCUGAAGGAGGAACUUGCUUCUCUGGAUGAGUUGCGAACGGGUGAGUAACGCGUAGGUAACCUGCCUGGUAGCGGGGGAUAACUAUUGGAAACGAUAGCUAAUACCGCAUAAUAGUAGAUGUUGCAUGACAUUUGCUUAAAAGAUGCAAUUGCAUCACUACCAGAUGGACCUGCGUUGUAUUAGCUAGUUGGUGGGGUAACGGCUCACCAAGGCGACGAUACAUAGCCGACCUGAGAGGGUGAUCGGCCACACUGGGACUGAGACACGGCCCAGACUCCUACGGGAGGCAGCAGUAGGGAAUCUUCGGCAAUGGACGAAAGUCUGACCGAGCAACGCCGCGUGAGUGAAGAAGGUUUUCGGAUCGUAAAGCUCUGUUGUAAGAGAAGAACGAGUGUGAGAGUGGAAAGUUCACACUGUGACGGUAUCUUACCAGAAAGGGACGGCUAACCACGUGCCAGCAGCCGCGGUAAUACGUAGGUCCCGAGCGUUGUCCGGAUUUAUUGGGCGUAAAGCGAGCGCAGGCGGUUAGAUAAGUCUGAAGUUAAAGGCUGUGGCUUAACCAUAGUACGCUUUGGAAACUGUUUAACUUGAGUGCAAGAGGGGAGAGUGGAAUUCCAUGUGUAGCGGUGAAAUGCGUAGAUAUAUGGAGGAACACCGGUGGCGAAAGCGGCUCUCUGGCUUGUAACUGACGCUGAGGCUCGAAAGCGUGGGGGGCAAACAGGAUUAGAUACCCUGGUAGUCCACGCCGUAAACGAUGAGUGCUAGGUGUUAGACCCUUUCCGGGGUUUAGUGCCGCAGCUAACGCAUUAAGCACUCCGCCUGGGGAGUACGACCGCAAGGUUGAAACUCAAAGGAAUUGACGGGGGCCCGCACAAGCGGUGGAGCAUGUG
rnacentral:rRNA from 1 species